rnacentral:lncRNA from 10 species
GUUUAAUGGCUUCUGUGAUGCAGUUUCUUCCUGUUCCGGAUUGUUUGAGCUCCAUAUAUAGGAGGUACCAUCAUCAUUUCAGAGACAUCAGUAUAAUAAGCCCAACGGGAGAAUGAUAUGGCAAUUUCUAAAUUUCCUAGAAGGAUCGCUCAGGAGGAUGGGCUUGAGCAGGCUGCCUUCCAUGUCACACCACCACUGGGCACAUUUUGUUUUUUGGCAACUGCCCCAACAGGAUUUUUUGUUCAUUCUGAAAAUCACAUCGCCAGAUCCAACACCUUUUUAUCCCAAUCACCAGUACAAGCCACCCGUAUCAGUGUACACUGUGGCUGACCGAUCCAUAGUGAUGCUUUGAGGUGGGUGUCAUUGUGACUGGCUGCUACCUCCCCAUGAGUCUUCUAAAAUAAAACCUGCAAAUUCACAUCUUCCCCAUGCUUCCAGAGAAUGCAUAUUCUUCCUUUGAAAAAAGAAAACCAGGUAGUCGUACAGUGUCCAGAAGGCAAAAGGACAAGUAUGCACUGCCCUACUUACCUACUUUCCACACUGCUGCACAGGAAAAUCUGACAGAGGACAAUAACAAACAUCUCACCAGCUCAUGCGUUCUUUUUUGAUCCUAAUUCCGAGAGACUCACCAAAGACAUGAAGAGAAAACAAACAAUACUUUUCUUGGAAAUAUUGUAAUUGCUGGUACAUUUGUUGUUCUGGCAUAAAGUAGAAAUUGUCAGGUAAACAUUGCUUCCUUUUGGAUCAAAAAGAAAUUUAACCAAAUAAAUGCAAGAGGUAUGAGGGAAGAUAAUGGGAAAUAAAUGAGAUUUGAGAAAUCAGUGGAGGUUCAAGUGGUUUUUUUUUUCUUUUGUAGUUGAUAAUACUCUGUUUUAAAUCAGUGAGUUUUACUUAUAUAUGCUUGUCCUUUUUUUUUUCUAGUUACCAGAACAAUACUCAGUGAACUUAUGAAUAUAUGGUAAAUAUUAAACACAUCCCACUUGGAUGAGAAGAUAUGUGAGUCGAUGAGUAUAGCUAAGUCUAAAGUUAGAUGUGUUCCAUAAACAUAGUGUUUAUGGAGUUGGUGCAUAUUCACUUCUCAGUAAG